CCGGAAGCUCCUCUGGGACCUCAGGAUUAUGGAUGUGCAGAUCCUGUUCUCACUGUCCCAGGUCUGACGUUGACAACCACACCCUCUCCCCAGGAAGUUGCAGGCAGCUCCAGAGUCAACCACUGAUGAAAUGACACUUAAGACACCAUUGGGAAGACACACACAGUCAGAAAGGAGAGGCUACUCACUGCUUCAGCAUGUAAGGACCCAUCAGCAGUGGAAACUUCAGUCUUCCAUCUAUUGGGACAAUCAUGAAAUUACAUCUACAGCAUUUAGCUGUAGAGUAAUUGACGGUCUUGCUUAGGGGCCCAAA